rnacentral:SRP_RNA from 8 species
GCAGGAGGCACUCGUCGACCAUGUCAACCAGGCAGCUCCGGAAGGAAGCAUCGACAUCGAACUGGAAUGCGCUGCUCGUGCCUGCCUCGG